rnacentral:misc_RNA from 1 species
CUUCAAAGGGUUUUGUUGAUUCUGGAACUUCUUGUUCGCAUCCAUUGAAGACUGUUGCUGCGGUGGCCACGGCUUGUAGCUUCUAUUAUUCAUCAUCAUCAUGAUCGGAGGUUGCUGCUGGUUCAUUGGUCCACCAUGGCUCAUCCUCUGAGACUGAGACUGAACCGGGUUCAACACCUGGUGAGGAGGCUGGUUCAUGGCCUGAGAUUGAACCAGAGCCGCCGGAUUCUGGUUCAAAAUCUGAGGCUGAACCGGAUUCAUUACCUGAGGUUGACUCAUCAUCUGUGCCUGACUCAUCAACUGCAGUGGAUUCAUCAUUUGGGAUUGAUCGUCCAUUCUCUCACCCAGAAACCCUAAAUAGAAAUUGGAGUAAAAACCUUUGUGGGUUUUGAAAUCUAAAGCAAAAGAAUCAAUCUAAGGAACGAAAAUCCAAAAAUCUCUGAUUCAAUUUUGGAUCUUAAAUUUUGCUUGCCGAUUUCGAGAGAUCUUGGAAUUCCUCUAUCGGUUUUAAAAGGGCC